GACGAACGCUGGCGGCGUGCUUAACACAUGCAAGUCGAACGGUGAAGCGCCUUCCUUUUUGGUGGGUGUGGAUGAGUGGCGAACGGGUGAGUAACACGUGAGUAACCUGCCCCCUUCUUCUGGAUAACCGCAUGAAAGUGUGGCUAAUACGGGAUAUUCUGGGUCUGUCGCAUGAUGGGUCUGGGAAAGAUAUUGUUUCGGUGGGGGAUGGGCUCGCGGCCUAUCAGCUUGUUGGUGGGGUGAUGGCCUACCAAGGCGGUGACGGGUAGCCGGCCUGAGAGGGUGGACGGUCACACUGGGACUGAGACACAGCCCAGACUCCUACGGGAGGCAGCAGUGGGGAAUAUUGCACAAUGGGCGCAAGCCUGAUGCAGCGACGCCGCGUGAGGGAUGGAGGCCUUCGGGUUGUGAACCUCUUUCGCCAGUGAAGCAGGCCUGCCUCGUUUGUGGGUGGGUUGACGGUAGCUGGAUAAGAAGCGCCGGCUAACCACGUG
rnacentral:rRNA from 1 species